UUGAAAACUAUGGCGUGGGUACCGGCGGAGUCUGCAGUGGAAGAGUUGAUGCCCCGGCUGUUGCCAGUGGAGCCCUGCGACUUGACAGACAGUUUUGAUCCCAACGUACCUCCGAGAACUCCCCAAGAAUACCUAAGGCGGGUCCAGAUCGAAGCAGCUCACUGUCCAGAUGUUGUGGUAGCUCAAAUUGACCCAAAGAAGUUGAAAAGGAAGCAAAGUGUGAAUGUUUCUCUUUCAGGAUGCCAACCUGCUCCUGAAGGAUAUUCCCCCACUCUUCAGUGGCAACAGCAGCAAGUGGCACAGUUUUCAACUGUUCGGCAGAGUGUGAACAGACAUAGAAGUCACUGGAAAUCACAGCAGUUGGAUAGUAAUGUGACCAUGCCAAAAUCUGAAGAUGAAGAAGGCUGGAAAAAAUUUUGUCUGGGUGAGAGGUUAUAUGCUGAAGGGGCUGUUGGACCAGCUGCAAGUGAAAGUCCUGGAAUCGAUUAUGUACAAAUUGGUUUUCCUCCCUUGCUUAGUAUUGUUAGCAGAAUGAAUCAGGCAACAGUAACUAGCGUCUUGGAAUAUCUGAGUAAUUGGUUUGGAGAAAGAGACUUUACUCCAGAAUUGGGAAGAUGGCUUUAUGCUUUAUUGGCUUGUCUUGAAAAACCUUUAUUACCGGAGGCUCAUUCACUGAUUCGGCAGCUUGCAAGAAGGUGCUCUGAAGUGAGGCUUUUAGUGGACAGCAAAGAUGAUGAGAGGGUCCCUGCUUUGAAUUUGUUAAUCUGCUUGGUUAGCAGCUAACUUCAUGAUGGUAUUUAAUGGUUCAUCUAUCCUCCAUACUGGUAGGUCACCACAGAGCACUGAGUAGAGUCCCCUGUGCUAUACAGUACUUUGACCAACGUGACUUAGCUGAUGAGCCAUCCUGAUAAUAGCUGAUCUCUCAGGGAUAGAAGAUAUUUGUAAUGAAGGCAGCCCAAGUCUGAGGAAGUGCAAUGCCAGUUCAAGUACAGAUUGCAUCACAUCUUCAGCACUAUGUGAAGCGUCUUCAUCUUAACCUGUGCAACUCAAGUUGAUAUUCAGAAGAUAGAUUGUGUUGGUAUGAGUAUCUGAGGUAUCUUUGAAAGAUGUUACCCAGUUUUUGCUGAACAGUUUAAAUAGUUUUCUGUAAUCACAUGCUUUUAAAACAAAUCGAAUGAUUUAUUGGUGAAGCAUCCUGCACAGAAACUGUAUGACGAAAUUGUACAGAGGUCGUUGGUGCUGUUUCAUUGUUUAUUCACAUAUACACAUAUAAAAUUUUAUUGAAAAUG